GAUGGACGCUGACAGAAUGCUUAACACAUGCAAGUCAACUUGAAUUUGGGUUUUUAACUUAGGUUUGGGUGGCGGACGGGUGAGUAACGCGUAAAGAACUUGCCUCACAGCUAGGGACAACAUUUGGAAACGAAUGCUAAUACCUAAUAUUAUGAUAAUAGGGCAUCCUAUAAUUAUGAAAGCUAUAAGCGCUGUGAGAGAGCUUUGCGUCCCAUUAGCUAGUUGGAGAGGUAACGGCUCACCAAGGCGAUGAUGGGUAGCCGGCCUGAGAGGGUGAUCGGCCACAAGGGGCCUGAGACACGGCCCUUACUCCUACGGGCGGCAGCAGUGGGGAAUAUUGGACAAUGGACCGAGAGUCUGAUCCAGCAAUUCUGUGUGCACGAUGAAGUUUUUCGGAAUGUAAAGUGCUUUCAGUUGGGAAGAAACAAAUGACGGUACCAACAGAAGAAGUGACGGCUAAAUACGUG
rnacentral:rRNA from 1 species